CGGGGAAGGCCAUGCAUCAUCUGCUACCCUGGAGGAUCUGGAGCCAGUACCGAGAACUAGCAGUGGCCCUGCACUCAAGCUCCGCAAUAAUCAGUCAACUCAGUGAAAACAUCAAUUCACUGCUGAACCCCUGGCCCCAGAGCCCCCAGCAGGGCCCUCUGAGGUGGAGCAGCUACAAGAUGAGACCAACCACCUAAGGAAGGAGCUGGAGAGUGUGGGAAGACAGCUCCAGGCUGAGGUGGAAAACAAUCAGAUGUUGAGUCUCCUGAACAGGAGACAGGAGGAGAGGCUGCAGGAACAGGAGAGGCUGCUGGACAAGGGGUAGGAGCUGCUGGAACAGGAGAGGCUUCAGGAGCAGGAUGAGAGGCUGUGGCAGCAGGAGACUCUGUGGGAGCUGGAGAGGAUGCUGGAGCUGGAGUGGGAAGCCCUCUACAAGCAGCAGGCCGAGCCCCACAGCAGCUUUGAGGAGCUGAAUAAUGAGAACAAGAGUGCACUGCAGUUGGAGCGGCAAGUAAAGGAGCUGAAGCUUGGAGAACCUGGAAGCUACCAGCCAGCAGAAACAGCAGCUAAAGCCCAGUUGAGCCUCAUGGCUCUCCCUGGGGAAGGAUAUGGAGGAGGACAUCUGGACAAUGAGGAGGAGGCACCUCGGCCCAUGCUGAACAUUCCAGGGGACCUGGAGAGCCGGGAGGCCAUGGUGGCAUUUUUCAACUCCGCUGGAGCCAGUGCCCAGGAGGAGCAAAGCGUGUGCUGCCAGCCCCUGGCUCACCCAGUGGCCUCAUCCCAGAAAAAGCCAGAGGCAGCGGCCCCAGCCCCAGAGACUGGGGGUGAAUCUGUGUGUGGGGACACCCACUGGGCCCUGCAGGAGGCCAUGGAGAAGCUGCAGCAACUUUAUGGAAGGAGAAGAUGGACCUGAAGGAGCUGGUGGAGAAACUAGAGCUUCAGUUCAUCCACCUCUCAGGACAGACAGACACCAUGAGAAAGUACAUCAGCCAGGGGGCAGUGCCAAAGACGCAGCACUGGGAGAGGAGGACAUCGUCAGGCUGGCCCAGGACCAGGAGGA
rnacentral:lncRNA from 1 species